GCCGAUUUGGUCCUAGUCCCAGUUUUGGCUUUUUUCGAAAUGCCACAUGCAAGCUAAACAGCAAUCCAGUGAAGUUUAACGCUUAUACACUUCUUUCCAUACUAAAAACAGAAAGGUAUAUUCUUUUAGCAUCAGGACUAAUUUAGAUGCCCACGACGCUAAGCAAAAGCCACGACUGCAGUGCUAAACAUUGGACCAUACGUACCGCUCGGAUCCAGUAAACGAAAACAAAGAAGGAGGUAAAAUACGUGCCAGCCACCGCGGUUAAACGUAUGCCCUAAAGUAAAACUAGACCGGUGUAAAGGGUGGUUAGAAUGUUACAGCCUAGCUAUAGUUUUUAUGAUAGUGGUAGAAAACUUACCUAAAAUAAAAUAGCUAGCCUAUACUUUGACCCACGAAAACUAGGCAUAAACCAGGAUUAGAUACCCUGUUAUACCUAGAAGUAAACAACCUAUAAACACCAGAGAACUACUAACUUAAGGUUUAAAACUCAAAGGACUUGGCGGUUUUCCAAACCUCCCUGGAGGAGCUUGCCGUCGGAUCGAUAAUCCACGCUAUACCUUACCGAUUCUUGCCUUCACAGCCUGUAUACCAUCGUCGAAAGUUUACUUCCUAAGAAAGUUAACACAAAGAGCAAUCUCUUCACGUCAGAUCAAGGUGCAGCUUAUGAAUCGGGGACAGGUGAGCUACAAUGUUAAUAAAAACCAGUGAAAUAAGGGUUGAAAAUAGUCCUUAAGAAAUUGGAUUCAGCAGUAAGCCCCAGAAGAGAAUGGGGCUGAAGAAAGCUCUGGAAUGCGUACACAUCGCCCGUCACUCUCGCCUAGCCAAAGGUAAGGGGAGAAAAGUCGUAACAUAGUAGGUAUACCGGAAGGUGCACCUGGAAAAU
rnacentral:ncRNA from 1 species